UUUGUACAUGAGUUAUCAUAAUAUUUUAUCUUCCCGUUGCAACGCACGGGCAUCCACCUAGUAUAUAUAUAUGGCAAUAGCAAAGACUACCAAAAGUUCAGGGGUAACAAGGUGUAAAGAUAACCAAACUAGGGUGACCUAUUGGGUCCCAUCAAAAUUAAGCCUAUGCAUGCCAAAAUGAUUACAGAGAACAUUAUUGGGUAAAUAGAUGUGAUCAAGGGCACAACAUGCCUGGGACUCGAGAUUCCAGGUACCAACUUGCUCUUCAAGUGACUCGUGACCUCGCGCUAGUCAUAGCAAUACAAACAAACAUGGUAUAGGCAAAAUUAAUAUUACACCAAACAUAAUCAAAAGUUACACAAGAGUAUUCUUCGUGAUGCUAUGGGAGUGUGGGUUUGGGAACCACUAAAAUCGGAGUUAUGGUUAAUAAGAUAUGGUUUUCUGAAGUUUUAGGUGAUUAAAUAGCGAAUCAUGUUUUAUGUUGAUUAUCAUAAACUAUGAGAGAAAAGUUUACAAGAACAUAGCCAAUUGAACUUUAAUCUCAGUUAUAGCUUCAUUUGAGACCAUAUUUUAGCUAAUUUAUAAUUAUGGACAAGUUGACUUGACUAGAUUGACUAAUCAACUAACAUAAGCUAAAUAAAUAGCCAAUUACAAAAGUAUGAGGAAGGUUAAGAAUAAUGUUUUAAUGUGUAAAUAAUUUUAUUACGAAGUUUACGCAAUUUGAACGGAUCCAAUCAGAGUUAAAAUGAAUUAAUUAUGAGUUAAACAAGAUUCUAGAAUUAUUAAAAUUCAUUUUAGAAUUAAUUUUAUUAUUAAACAUAAAUUCCUGGACCACGAUCGAAAUCCCUUAGAAUUCCAGGGUGCUAUCUAAAAAGAAAUGGUCUAAUCUGUAAUUAUUUUUGCAUUCAGUAGGAUGGUGGGUUAAUUUGUCAAAUGUGUAGGGGCUCUUUAGCAAUACUACCCCGGCUGUCUACACACGCGCGAUCCCAAGCCCUUAGAUCAUCAUCGGACGACCCAAAACACAUCCGAACCGGUAUGCGCCGCUGGCCACAUGAUUCUGGAUCAAUGGAGAGGAUUGAAUCGGCGAAAGGUUAAGUUGGUUUUAAUAUCGAUCGUUGGCUGAGGGCUCAACGGCAUCCGCGCCCAACCCAUUAAAACGUGACAACCAGAGGCGGCGCCGCCUGCUCACACGGCGGGGAACCCGCCGGCAACCGCACCAUGGCCCCCCAGGUGAUAAUUUCUUCCCCCAGAAACGCGCUACAUAAUGUGGAGGUCGGGGCGAACUUGAGAAUGGUGGAUUUACCGUCGGAGGUGUUGGGAUUUGGGGUGCCCACGGUGUGACGCGGCUUCGCGGCGGUGCCCUGACUUAGGAGAGAAAUUCAUCGCGGUCCGAGGCUUCUCUAUGAUCCGUGUUUGUCGUGUGCAGUUUCCAAGCGACGCGAGCGACCCUCCUUAACAACCACCAAGAGGUUGGUGCCUGCGCAGGCCCGAAUCGACCAUGGCCGUGAUUCCGGACACCCCCCGACUCCUACUUGCUCGAUCCUGG
rnacentral:lncRNA from 1 species